AGCGUACACGGUGGAUGCCCUGGCAGUCAGAGGCGAUGAAGGACGUGCUAAUCUGCGAUAAGCGUCGGUAAGGUGAUAUGAACCGUUAUAACCGGCGAUUUCCGAAUGGGGAAACCCAGUGUGUUUCGACACACUAUCAUUAACUGAAUCCAUAGGUUAAUGAGGCGAACCGGGGGAACUGAAACAUCUAAGUACCCCGAGGAAAAGAAAUCAACCGAGAUUCCCCCAGUAGCGGCGAGCGAACGGGGAGCAGCCCAGAGCCUGAAUCAGUGUGUGUGUUAGUGGAAGCGUCUGGAAAGGCGCGCGAUACAGGGUGACAGCCCCGUACACAAAAAUGCACAUGCUGUGAGCUCGAUGAGUAGGGCGGGACACGUGGUAUCCUGUCUGAAUAUGGGGGGACCAUCCUCCAAGGCUAAAUACUCCUGACUGACCGAUAGUGAACCAGUACCGUGAGGGAAAGGCGAAAAGAACCCCGGCGAGGGGAGUGAAAAAGAACCUGAAACCGUGUACGUACAAGCAGUGGGAGCACGCUUAGGCGUGUGACUGCGUACCUUUUGUAUAAUGGGUCAGCGACUUAUAUUCUGUAGCAAGGUUAACCGAAUAGGGGAGCCGAAGGGAAACCGAGUCUUAACUGGGCGUUAAGUUGCAGGGUAUAGACCCGAAACCCGGUGAUCUAGCCAUGGGCAGGUUGAAGGUUGGGUAACACUAACUGGAGGACCGAACCGACUAAUGUUGAAAAAUUAGCGGAUGACUUGUGGCUGGGGGUGAAAGGCCAAUCAAACCGGGAGAUAGCUGGUUCUCCCCGAAAGCUAUUUAGGUAGCGCCUCGUGAAUUCAUCUCCGGGGGUAGAGCACUGUUUCGGCAAGGGGGUCAUCCCGACUUACCAACCCGAUGCAAACUGCGAAUACCGGAGAAUGUUAUCACGGGAGACACACGGCGGGUGCUAACGUCCGUCGUGAAGAGGGAAACAACCCAGACCGCCAGCUAAGGUCCCAAAGUCAUGGUUAAGUGGGAAACGAUGUGGGAAGGCCCAGACAGCCAGGAUGUUGGCUUAGAAGCAGCCAUCAUUUAAAGAAAGCGUAAUAGCUCACUGGUCGAGUCGGCCUGCGCGGAAGAUGUAACGGGGCUAAACCAUGCACCGAAGCUGCGGCAGCGACGCUUAUGCGUUGUUGGGUAGGGGAGCGUUCUGUAAGCCUGUGAAGGUGUGCUGUGAGGCAUGCUGGAGGUAUCAGAAGUGCGAAUGCUGACAUAAGUAACGAUAAAGCGGGUGAAAAGCCCGCUCGCCGGAAGACCAAGGGUUCCUGUCCAACGUUAAUCGGGGCAGGGUGAGUCGACCCCUAAGGCGAGGCCGAAAGGCGUAGUCGAUGGGAAACAGGUUAAUAUUCCUGUACUUGGUGUUACUGCGAAGGGGGGACGGAGAAGGCUAUGUUGGCCGGGCGACGGUUGUCCCGGUUUAAGCGUGUAGGCUGGUUUUCCAGGCAAAUCCGGAAAAUCAAGGCUGAGGCGUGAUGACGAGGCACUACGGUGCUGAAGCAACAAAUGCCCUGCUUCCAGGAAAAGCCUCUAAGCAUCAGGUAACAUCAAAUCGUACCCCAAACCGACACAGGUGGUCAGGUAGAGAAUACCAAGGCGCUUGAGAGAACUCGGGUGAAGGAACUAGGCAAAAUGGUGCCGUAACUUCGGGAGAAGGCACGCUGAUAUGUAGGUGAAGUCCCUCGCGGAUGGAGCUGAAAUCAGUCGAAGAUACCAGCUGGCUGCAACUGUUUAUUAAAAACACAGCACUGUGCAAACACGAAAGUGGACGUAUACGGUGUGACGCCUGCCCGGUGCCGGAAGGUUAAUUGAUGGGGUUAGCGGUAACGCGAAGCUCUUGAUCGAAGCCCCGGUAAACGGCGGCCGUAACUAUAACGGUCCUAAGGUAGCGAAAUUCCUUGUCGGGUAAGUUCCGACCUGCACGAAUGGCGUAAUGAUGGCCAGGCUGUCUCCACCCGAGACUCAGUGAAAUUGAACUCGCUGUGAAGAUGCAGUGUACCCGCGGCAAGACGGAAAGACCCCGUGAACCUUUACUAUAGCUUGACACUGAACAUUGAGCCUUGAUGUGUAGGAUAGGUGGGAGGCUUUGAAGUGUGGACGCCAGUCUGCAUGGAGCCGACCUUGAAAUACCACCCUUUAAUGUUUGAUGUUCUAACGUGGACCCGUGAUCCGGGUUGCGGACAGUGUCUGGUGGGUAGUUUGACUGGGGCGGUCUCCUCCUAAAGAGUAACGGAGGAGCACGAAGGUUGGCUAAUCCUGGUCGGACAUCAGGAGGUUAGUGCAAUGGCAUAAGCCAGCUUGACUGCGAGCGUGACGGCGCGAGCAGGUGCGAAAGCAGGUCAUAGUGAUCCGGUGGUUCUGAAUGGAAGGGCCAUCGCUCAACGGAUAAAAGGUACUCCGGGGAUAACAGGCUGAUACCGCCCAAGAGUUCAUAUCGACGGCGGUGUUUGGCACCUCGAUGUCGGCUCAUCACAUCCUGGGGCUGAAGUAGGUCCCAAGGGUAUGGCUGUUCGCCAUUUAAAGUGGUACGCGAGCUGGGUUUAGAACGUCGUGAGACAGUUCGGUCCCUAUCUGCCGUGGGCGCUGGAGAACUGAGGGGGGCUGCUCCUAGUACGAGAGGACCGGAGUGGACGCAUCACUGGUGUUCGGGUUGUCAUGCCAAUGGCACUGCCCGGUAGCUAAAUGCGGAAGAGAUAAGUGCUGAAAGCAUCUAAGCACGAAACUUGCCCCGAGAUGAGUUCUCCCUGACUCCUUGA
rnacentral:rRNA from 1 species